rnacentral:rRNA from 1 species
AAAUUGAAGAGUUUGAUCAUGGCUCAGAUUGAACGCUGGCGGCAGGCCUAACACAUGCAAGUCGAACGGUAACAGGAAGCAGCUUGCUGCUUUGUUGACGAGUGGCGGACGGGUGAGUAAUGUCUGGGAAACUGCCUGAUGGAGGGGGAUAACUACUGGAAACGGUGGCUAAUACCGCAUAACGUCGCAAGACCAAAGAGGGGGACCUUCGGGCCUCUUGCCAUCAGAUGUGCCCAGAUGGGAUUAGCUUGUUGGUGAGGUAACGGCUCACCAAGGCGACGAUCCCUAGCUGGUCUGAGAGGAUGACCAGCCACACUGGAACUGAGACACGGUCCAGACUCCUACGGGAGGCAGCAGUGGGGAAUAUUGCACAAUGGGCGCAAGCCUGAUGCAGCCAUGCCGCGUGUAUGAAGAAGGCCUUCGGGUUGUAAAGUACUUUCAGCGGGGAGGAAGGUGUUGUGGUUAAUAACCGCAGCAAUUGACGUUACCCGCAGAAGAAGCACCGGCUAACUCCGUGC